AUGGAAUCAAAAUGGCUUCCUGUAAUUUGCAAGAAGGUACCAAUUACAAAAAUUCCAUCAGGACCUGUUGAACUUAUCAGUUCCCAGACAAAGAUUAAAUUUUGCAUGCCGUCGCAAGAAAAUGGAACAACAAAAUAUCACUUUAAUUUACCAUGCAACAUGCAAGGCAGUAAAAUUUUGGCAACUGGAAAAUGUGGCACAAAGGUUCGUUCAUCAUCAUACGGUAGAUGUAGAAUCUGUGGGGCCAACACUGCCGUACAUGGGCCCAUAUACAUGAUGUACACAACAUUGUUUUUCCUCCCCCACAGGCCCCAUGCUAGCUACAUCUGUCUGCCUGAAUUGCUUUGCACAGAGAUGGCUCUUUUUAGCAUGUGUUCUGCCCAAGCCAGGUAUGCGAUGUACUUUCUGGGCUUCCUCUUAUAG
rnacentral:rRNA from 1 species